rnacentral:rRNA from 1 species
CAGCACGCCGCGGGAAUACAGAGGGUGCGAGCGUUAAUCGGAUUUACUGGGCGUAAAGCGUGCGUAGGCGGCUUCUUAAGUCGGAUGUGAAAUCCCUGAGCUUAACUUAGGAAUUGCAUUCGAUACUGGGAAGCUAGAGUAUGGGAGAGGAUGGUAGAAUUCCAGGUGUAGCGGUGAAAUGCGUAGAGAUCUGGAGGAAUACCGAUGGCGAAGGCAGCCAUCUGGCCUAAUACUGACGCUGAGGUACGAAAGCAUGGGGAGCAAACAGGAUUAGAUACCCCAGUAGUCCCUGUCUCUUAUACAC